CCUACGGGAGGCAGCAGUGAGGAAUAUUGGUCAAUGGGCGGUAGCCUGAACCAGCCAAGUAGCGUGAAGGAUGAAGGUUCUAUGGAUUGUAAACUUCUUUUCUAAAGGAAUAAAGUGAGGCACGUGUGCCUUUUUGUAUGUACUUUAUGAAUAAGGAUCGGCUAACUCCGUGCCAGCAGCCGCGGUAAUACGUAGGUGGCAAGCGUUGUCCGGAUUUACUGGGUGUAAAGGGCGUGUAGCCGGGCCGGCAAGUCAGAUGUGAAAUCCCAAGGCUCAACCUUGGAACUGCAUUUGAAACUGUUGGU
rnacentral:rRNA from 1 species